rnacentral:misc_RNA from 1 species
AACCAUAGAAACCUGCGGAGUACCUGCGGAGGGAUCAUUACAGAGUUGCAAGACUCCCUAAACCAUUGUGAACGUUACCUAAACCGUUGCUUCGGCGGGCGGCCCGGGUCCUUCCCGGCGCCCCUCGGCCCUCGCGGGCGCCCGCCGGAGGUAAACCAAACUAUUGCAUUGUAUGGCCUCUCUGAGUCUUCUGUACUGAAUAAGUCAAAACUUUCAACAAUGGAUCUCAGAUCGGAAGAG